rnacentral:lncRNA from 1 species
CAGAGGGGAGAGGGGUUGGAGAUUGAGCCCAGCCACGAAAGGCCAGUGAUUUAAUCAAUCAUGCCUGUGUAAUGGAACCUCCAAAAAAUCCUUAAAAAUUGAGUUCUGAGAGCUUCUGGACUUGUGAACUGGUGCUGGGAGGACAGUGCACCCACCGAAGGCAUGGAAACUUUGCACACUCCUCUCAGCCCUCCAUUCCUUGCCCUGUGCAUGUCUUUUAUUUUUCUGCUCCUGAGUUGUAUCCUUUAUAAUAAACCAACAAUAGUAAGUAAAUUGUUUUCCUGAGUUCAGUGAGCCAUCCUAGCAAAUGAUCAAACCUGAGAAAGGGAUUGUGGAGACCCCCAACUUUGUAGCUGAUGAGUCAGAAGUACGGGUGACCUGGACUUGAUACUGGCACCUGAAAUAGAGGCAAUCUCCUUCAUAGUUUGGCUGCUUAUAAAUUCUCAGCUCACAUUUCGUUUUCUCUAUUAUGUUCUUCCAUAGAGCGUUGCUGUCAGAGACUAAUGAUAUUCUCUUUAGUUAUUGUUUUUAGUUUUUGUUAUGGUUCCUUGCUUUGAUUUUCUUCUUUGGGGUCAGUUAUCUAUUAUCUAUUGCUGUAAAACA